CUUAUUUACUAAUGGCCCAGAGGGCUGCUCCCGUCUCUCCUUUGUUAAGAUUUUAAUUUGCCUUCUUUUCUGCCUUUGAUGUAAAAUUGUGACCUACAACUCUUUGAAGUCCCUUAUUAGGAGGAAAAUUAACUUAGCUUUUCCACUGUAUCUGCGCACUGUUAGCCCAGACAAAAUGUAGAGAACCCCUUAAAGAUCCAGUACAUUAGGAAAAUUUUCGAGGUAGUUCUGGAAAUGCAAAUUUAAAAAAAUGCAAUAGACUUUUAAAUCUGUAUUAGGAGGUGCAAUAUUCGCAAGGGCCAGAGUGGGGGAAGGGAAUAAGGGAAUAUCUUAAUAAAGAAAACAAAAUUUAUCUGGGCAAGGAAAGCUUGUAAAUCUAAAAACCUGAGAAGGGGAACUGGGGGAUGGUGUUGGUGUGAGCCUUUAUUUUUAAAUGUCACAACUUUUCCCUGUCCCUCUCGUGUACUGCUCACAAAUGACACCCUGGCUUCCUACGCUCUGGGUGAGGGGGGGCUAAGGGAGAAAUUAUAUCUAAAUCUAUCUCUAUAUAAUUAGAAUACCAUGAGGCAGGGUUAAACCUUUGUAAAACACACGACUGAUUGGCGAUCGCUAAAACGAGAUUUGAAAGCAACUCAAAUAAAAGAUCGCGACGUCAGUAAACAGAUUUAGAAAAAAAAAAAGGGGGGGGGGGAAAGCAGCUAGUGACAAACCCGGCGAGAGCGAGCUCUGGGCAUGAGAGAGAGAGGGAGGCAGAGGGAGAGAGAGACUUAAAAGAAAUAGGAGGGGCUUGUGAGAGACUAGAAAUGUCAAUCAGAGCCCAGAGUCCCAAUAAUCUCAGGCAAUCUGUUAGGACCUGACCUGGGUCCACUCAGAUCAAUAGGAAAAGUGAGAGAAGAAAGAAGCGAUCGGAUCGUUUACUGCGGCGGCCGAGGACAGGAGGGAGCCCGCGGCCUCCGCGCACCCCCGGCUCCCCCCCCAUGUCUGCCGGAGUUUGCGGGAGGCGCUGAAAGUGCGGGCGGCCGGCGAGGGCGAGCGACCCGGCUCCCUCCUCCGCUCCCGGCCCUGCUACUUUCUUCCCUUUCUCUCCCUUCUUCCUCUCGUCUCCCCCCCUCCUCUUCCUCCUCCCCCCUCCCCUACCCCGCUCCCCCACCAUGUCUUUCCCCCAGCUGGGCUACCAGUACAUCAGGCCGCUUUACCCGGCGGAGCGCCCGGGGAGCGGCGGCUCCCGCGGCGGCGCCGAGCUGGCCCCGUCCGGGACCCUCUCCAACGUGCUCUCCUCCAUGUACGGCGCGCCCUACGCCGCCGCCGCCGCCGCCCAGGGCUACGGAGCCUUCCUGCCCUACGCCGCAGAGCUGCCCAUCUUCCCGCAGCUGGCCCCAGAACCAACUUGACGCCGCUAUGGUUCUAUCGGCGCUCUCAUCAUCAUAG
rnacentral:lncRNA from 1 species